rnacentral:rRNA from 1 species
AGAGUUUGAUCCUGGCUCAGGAUGAACGCUGGCGGCGUGGAUAAGGCAUGCAAGUCGAACGAAUUAGUCCCAUGAACGAAGGAAAGAAAUUGACUGUAGCAAUACAGAAGAUGGAAAGAAUUCUGGAUUGGGUUUGCUAAUUAGUGGCGAACGAGGUAGUAACAUGUGGGUAUUUCCCCUGAAGUCAAGAAUAACUAAUCGAAAGAUUAGCUAAUACUUGAUAGUCUCUUCGGAGUAAAGAAGCAAUUCGCUUCAGGAAAAGCCCGCACGAUAUCAGCUAGUUGGUAAGGUAAUGGCCUACCAAGGCAAUGACGUCUAGGGGAGCUGAGAGGCUGACCCCCACCGAUAGCACUGAGACACGGGCUAUACACCUACGGGUGGCCGCAGUCGAGAAUCUUCCACAAUGGACGAAAGUCUGAUGGAGCGACGCCGCGUGAUUGAUGAAGUCCCUCGGGACGUAAAGAUCUUUUAUGAGCAACUAAGUUAUUGAAGAGCUCAUGAAUAAGGAGUUGCUAAACUCGUGCCAGCAGCAGCGGUAAUACGAGUGCUCCAAGCGUUAUCCGGAAUUACUGGGCGUAAAGGGUGUGUAGGCGGUUUUGUUAGUCGGUUGUUAAAGCUCCCCGCUUAACGGGGAAAAUGCAAUCGAAACGGCAAAUCUAGAGGAUGCGAGAGGUGAACAGAACUCAUGGUGUAGGGGUGAAAUCCGUUGAUAUCAUGGGGAAUACCAAAUGCGAAGGCAGUUCACUGGCGCACUCCUGACGCUGAAACACGAAAGCGUGGGUAGCGAAUGGGAUUAGAUACCCCAGUAGUCCACGCCCUAAACGAUGAUCACUUGUUUUUCGGAGUAUCGACCCUCUGAGAGACGAAGCUAACGCGUUAAGUGAUCCGCCUGGGUAGUACGACCGCAAGGUUAAAACUCAAAGGAAUAGACGGGGACUUGCACAAGCAGAGGAUUAUGAGGUUUAAUUCGACAACAAACGCAAAACCUUACCAGGGCUUGAAACUUACCCGACCGGUGCAGAAACGCACCUUUCGCAAGACGUGUAAGCAGGUGCUGCAUGGCCGUCGUCAGCUCGUGGCUUGAGUUGUUCCCUUCAGUGGGGUAACGAGCGCAACCC